UACGUAGGGUGCGAGCGUUGUCCGGAAUUACUGGGCGUAAAGAGCUCGUAGGUGGUUUGUCGCGUUGUUCGUGAAAUCUCACGGCUUAACUGUGAGCGUGCGGGCGAUACGGGCAGACUGGAGUACUGCAGGGGAGACUGGAAUUCCUGGUGUAGCGGUGGAAUGCGCAGAUAUCAGGAGGAACACCGGUGGCGAAGGCGGGUCUCUGGGCCGAAAUUGACGCUGAGGAGCGAAAGCGUGGGGAGCAAACAGG
rnacentral:rRNA from 1 species